AAAGAACUAGUGUCUGAGUAUGGCUUAGUUGUCAUUUCAAGAGCUGGGUCUAAUCCUGAAAAGUUUAUAUAUGAGUCAGACGUGUUGUCAAAAUAUAAGAGCAACAUCCAUCUAGUGACAGAAUGGAUUCAGAAUGAGAUAAGUGCCACAAAGAUCAGGCGAUCCCUGAAGCGGAAGGAAAGUGUGAGGUACCUGGUCCCUGACGCUGUCAUUAACUACAUCAAGGAACAUCAGCUGUACCAGCCAGAUACUGAGACAUCCUGAGGAGGCAACAUGUGGACAUAUCUGACACAGAACCGUUAUAAAUCUAGUUAUACUGUAAGGCAGGUAGAAGAGACAACAUACUAUACAAUAUGAGGGUCAUGCAAGUAAAGAGCCAAACC